rnacentral:rRNA from 1 species
UGGGGAAUAUUGCACAAUGGGCGAAAGCCUGAUGCAGCAACGCCGCGUGAGUGAUGAAGGCCUUCGGGUUGUAAAGCUCUGUCUUUUGGGACGAUAAUGACGGUACCAAAGGAGGAAGCCACGGCUAACUACGUGCCAGCAGCCGCGGUAAUACGUAGGUGGCAAGCGUUGUCCGGAUUUACUGGGCGUAAAGGAUGCGUAGGCGGAUUUUUAAGUGAGAUGUGAAAACCCUAAGCUUAACUUGGGGACUGCAUUUCAUACUGGAAAUCUAGAGUGCGGGAGAGGAGAAUGGAAUUCCUAGUGUAGCGGUGAAAUGCGUAGAGAUUAGGAAGAACACCAGUGGCGAAGGCGAUUCUCUGGACCGUAACUGACGCUGAGGCAUGAAAAGCGUGGGUAGCAAACAGGAUUAGAUACCCUGGUAGUCCACGCCGUAAACGAUGAGUACUAGGUGUAGGAGGUAUCGACCCCUUCUGUGCCGCAGUUAACACAAUAAGUACUCCGCCUGGGAAGUACGAUCGCAAGAUUAAAACUCAAAUGAAUUGACGGGGUCAUAGCUG